GCUGGAUAUGGUGGCGUGUGCCUGUUGUCCCAGCUACUUGGGAGGCUGAGGUGGGAGGCUUGCUUGAGCAUGGGAAGUUGAGGCUGCAGUGAGCUGUUAUCAGCCACUGCACUCUAGCCUGGGUGACAGAGCAAGACCCCGUCUCAA
rnacentral:SRP_RNA from 1 species